UCGGGGCGGCAGAGGUGCACCGGUGUCUCUCCGGGGACCUGUCGCUUUAAGGGGAGGGGCCGGAGCCGGGAAGCUGCCAGAAGUUUCUGGCUGCCCGAGCCAGCCCCGAGCGCCGGCGCCCGCCCGCGCCCUCUCCCCGAAAGCGCCCAGGGCUCUGGCAGAUUAAGCGCGGAUUGCCGUAAACUAAAUUUGUCCCCUUAAGGCGAUUGCCUGGUAAAUCUGCACGCAGGGCUUCCCGGGAGCCGGCCGCUGCUGGAGCCGAGCACCGGCAGCGCCAACUCCCAGGAUCCGCCCGGUAUCGCUCCCGACCCGGCACCUCGGCCCGGGAAAGCUGCGAGCGCUGCCCGCCCUCCUGCAGUGCAGCUCCUCCGGAACGCCGCUGGAAUGUGCCGUGCGCUGAAUAUCCUAAAUCACCAGCCAAACUACUAUAAAAAUUUCUGGCGCUGUCUUGGGUGACCAAGAUGGGAUAAAGAGGAAAAAACUUCCUGCAGUUUUGCACUUUCCAUUAGGAAAUCCAAACUAAUGGGCAACCACGAUGCUCCUAGUAGCACUUAAUUUUGUUUUAUUAGUGGGAAUAGGAUGAAUAGUUUCUCUGCUAUCUCAAUUCACAACUGCUGUGCACGGGCAGGAGUUGCAGGACAAGCUGCCGCAGCUGAAAAGCUGGUUUACCACUCAAAUAAGGAGCAGUCUCUAGGUGACCAGUCAGCAAUUUCCACCAAUUCAGUGGCUGAAUUUUCUUUGGCAGGCAAAGCAGGCUGCUGGAAGGGUUCUGCUCCAGCCUUCAAGCUGAUUAUACCUGGAAGGACUGAUAAAUGGCUAGAUGCCCACAUCAUAAAACAACCUACACAUCUUCUGAAUUUGGACAUUUACAUUGGUAUUAAUAGUUCUGGUGUUCCAAGUGUGAGGGAGGAAAUACAUGGACCUCUUCAGAGCACUAUGGAAUACACAUUUUAGCAUUGCAAUCUAAAAUGUAGCAUCAUGCUUUUACCUACAUUUAAAGGCUGUUAAAGAAGUUGGUUCUCCAGCAUUUUUUUUUAACAGAUUUAUAUAUUUUUCCAUCUAUGUGGGAUGAAAUCAUCCUCACCCGUCUUCUUUUACUUGUGCUGCAUUACUAUAUUCAAAUUCCUUUGUAAAGUCUGUCAUGCCAUACAGCAGCUGAUAAAAUUGCUUUACACUGUGCUUUGCCUAUAAGCACAUCUAAUACAGAGUGUGUGAAUAUAUUAUUUCUAUCUCCUAAUCUGUAUUCCUCUGCACCACACACAGGAUGUUCCAAGUAAACCACAUGAAAACAAGAUUAAGUAUUCAAUCUAGAAACACAGCAGACAUGGUUACUAGGAAAGCCUGCAGGACUGCUUUCAGAUUAAUACACAAAGAGAAAACUGGGUCUAUACCUUCCCUUUGUCUUUCACAUAUAGAGAGUUUGAAAAGCUGAGAUUUCAGCUUGUAUUAAACAUCCAAAAUUCAACAUUUAUCUACUCUACAAGACUCUUGAGUCGAGAAACUAGGGAAGCAAUUUCAAGAAGCAAAAAUCACCCCAACAAUCCCACAACUACUGAAAAGAAAGGACUGGUUUUAGUUUUUAAAUGAAAAUUUCACAUUUGUUUAUUUUCAAUAACCAAGGUUCAGAAAAAGCUCGUUAAAGAUUCAAGACUCUCCCCAGACCCCACCUGGCAUCCACAUUAAUUACUGAGUUUAAAAAAGAAACAUCAUAAGACUCAACAUCUGAUUUGUUUUCUCAUCCAUAUUAUGCAAGAGGAACAGUGGCAAAACUUUUUUUGCUACUGCCUAUGGUAUUUUGAAGUUAUUUUUCCAAGGGACAUGUUUUCUAAUUGUUUGCCUAUCGUCCAUAAUUCAAAAUGGAAACACCCAGUUUGCAAGUGGAAUCAUCACACACAUACUUGAAUAUUCCACCUACAGUCAUCCCAGUCACACAAAUCACUGGGAAAAAAACACCAAUAAUACCCCACUACUUCAACCCAAACCCCAAACCAGAUUUUUAAGUCAUCUAAUGAAGGUCAAAAAUUCCCUUUCCAUCCUGCAGAAUUAGCAGCCACCUCAGUGUCAUUCAAAGGUUUUCAGAAACUUUAGGGCAAUGAAGGCUUGAAAAGAUGCAAUUUUGAAAAACAGCAUCUUUUUUUUUACAGCAGAAUCAAUCUCUUAAUAAACAAAAUCGCAGAGUGUAAUUAAGAGGACAAGAUUUUGCUUACAGCUCAACCUCCUGUCAUUUGAAAGACACUCAACUUUACAGUAAUAGCAGAUAUUUUCAGGAAAAACUGUAAUUGUAACACUUUAAUAUACUCAAUUUGGCAGAUAAUAAUUAGUUUAUAGUUGAUUUUAAAUACAUUUCUCAUGUAUUUUCAGAGUAGCAAAGAUGAGAAACUUCUAAAACCUUUCUACAACCUAUGUUACUGAGACACACAACUCCUCAGAGACAAAUGCAGUAUCUGAAACAAAGACCGAAGUCCAGAAGACAAAACCUCCUUAAAAAAAAGUAAAUCUAUUGGCCCAUCAUCCACCUCCCAGAAAUGAGAACACUGCAACAGGAAACAGGAGGAAUUUUUCUGUGAACUUGCAAACUACAAAAUAGAAUAAAAGGCAGUGAUGUUUUUCACAUGAAAAAGCUAUUACAUGAAAGCUCAAGAGUAAGAGUAUGCUUUGGGCAAAUUUUCUUCUGGCUGAAAAAAAAUCAGAUUUUGACUUGAUACUUUGCUUUUGUUACUGUUGUGCAUUUCAGAGAAAGGUAAAACUAAUAAUUUUGAAAUUUCUGAAGGAAAAUGGUUCAAUUUUAUCAGUAUUUGCCCACAAAUAAAAAUUAUGGUAGAAAACAUCCUGAUCAAACCAAACAUUUACAAGUUAAAAAAGGGGAGGGCGCUUCUUGUAAUGAAAAUUAUUUCCAGUUUCAAUUUAAAACCUACAGGAAGUUUCAAGUAACACCUCACUAAUCUUGUAAGCAAACAUUAUACAGCUGUGGCAAAAAGUCAUUCCCCUCAACCAAGCUGGAAGUUACCAGACAGAUGUCUGGAAGCAUUAAACCAACUUCUGACAGCUUUAGCCUUUUCUAUAGGUGCAAAGCAUAUAUUUUCUUUAUUUCAAAUUAUUCUGUUAGAUCAGUCCAAUGCCAAGCUUAUUUAAAGUUCUUAAAGACUUGAAAGGGUUCAAAAGCUGAUUUUCCUCUUCAAAUAAAAAUGAGUUCGGUGGAAAGGAUUUACAGGUUCUAAGAUCAUGAAGGACCAAGUGACCCAAAACAAGAGGUUCAAUUUGGUACUCACGAGUAACACUUCUUUUAUUUAAUGUAUCUGUAUUAAAUGCAAAAUGGAUUUUCAUUAUUUUUACUUAUCUGUGUAAAGCUGAAUUUUUAUGGGACUAGUAAUCCCAUUCCUUUUUUUUUCCCAGAACUAUGCUAAGUUGAUGGAUACAGAAUUAUAAAAAUAUUUUAACUCUACUCAGAACAUGAGAAAUAUUUAGAAGAUUUUAAAAGUUAGUCUAUCCUAAUAAUUUCCAAAGAGCAACUCAAUUCUUCAUCCAGAAAUGUACCAAGUAGCGUUAUUUCCAAACAUCUAAACUGUAAUUACCUCAUUUCCUAUUUAAAAUAGAAAAUCCAGAAAGGUGACUAUGCUUUAAAAGAUUACAGCAUUAUUUUUUUCCCAACCCAACUGAAUGAAACCCACUGAAUUCUGAUUCUGUUCCUAAUUUGGUCACAGACUUGCUGCACCACGAUGAGACCCAGCAGGCAUGUACCAAUUCUCAAUUCUGCAGAAUGGGGCUAAUGCACAUCUAAUUCAAAGGCAAGUGAGCAUUUGAUGUUUCUCUAGUACUUUCAAACCUAAGAAUGGAAAUCUGUAUUCUUUCUAUUGGUAUAGCACAUCUCUCUAUACAAUGUUUUAUUUAAUAAAAACACUCCAGAACUGCUGAUCAAGCUCUCUAAAAAUAACACCAAUUCCUUACUAUUUCUUCUGUAGGUCUCUUGUUUUGUAUUGCUGAAAGGCUACAUGAAGAUAUUUUGAAUGCCAGCUCCCACUGUUUAUCCCUCUAAAUAUAAAAUCUUUUUUGAAGUCAAUUAUUGCCAUAGCUACCAGACUGCAUUUUUUUCCUGUAAGGUUUAACUAAAUAUUCAAACUAUUUAACAUAAUAGUUUAGUACUGUAAAAUGGUGCAACUUCAUUAAUGUCGGCCAGACAUUUUUUUGUAUGUUUCAAGUGAAGUCUGACCAUUAAGUUUCUACAUAUGUGCAGAUAAAAAAGUAACACUUAAUUUGAAAUAAGAAGCUUUUUGAAAGAGAAGACUUGUCUUUUAGUCACAGAUAUUUGAAAGCCUUCUUUCACAUUUCCUGUGUUUAGUGCAAGAACCAAAAUUCAUUCAAGUAUGGAAAACUGUUAAGUGAAAAAAAGAGGAAGCAAUAAAUAACAUGUUUGUUAUUAAAGGGUAAAAUAACUUAGUAAAAAGUAUGUCCUUGAUACCUGUUUUGCACUUGGAAAUAAGGACUAUAUUAAACCUUUACAUUAAAAAGUACUCUUUUUCCAACUAAAAGCUUUAGAUAACACUUAGAGGCAUUAUUUAAAUUAUUAGGUCUGGAAAACUUGCCUCAUAUUUAAAAGUGUGCCACAGUUCUGUCUAGAGAUGCUGCUGUGUAAAACUUGGGAUGUUUCAAAGCACUGAAAAGAAUGAUAGGAUAAUGAUAUGCUUGUCUUCCAAAUGGAUUGGAACAAAGAUAAUUUGAUAGUUUAAUCAAACAAACCAGUCCAGGCUGUUCCUGAUCAAAAUGGUGAAGAGACUAAUAUAUGACUAUGCCAAGUGUAAAAAAUCAGUAGUCAAUGAAAUCUCAAGAGACCAAACUCUUUUUAAGACAAUUGUAUAAUUCUUUGGCAAUAUUUCUAUUUCCAGUCAAAGACAGUUUAACUAUUGUUUUCUGUUUAAGAAGUUAGUUCUACAGAAAUUCAGUAUAACAGUAUACAGAACAGGAAAAUCUAUAUGUGUGAAACAAAUUGUAUUCUACAGCAAAUCUAUUCUAGGGAACUGAUAAUACUGGCAUUUUGGUUGACAGAAAAAUAUAACAAUAUUUUUACAUACUAAAACUGAUACCAAGAACAGGAACAGUGAAUAGUAAUUAAAAUCAGAUAAUUAUCUAAGAAUGUUGGGAGUUUUUUCACUGAAAUUGUGGCAUAUUAAGCUUCUGUUUAUUAUCAUCUAUUUUUAAAACUAUUUUCUAUUGUGUAAAACUUCAGACACAAAUUCAUGCCAAGUUGAAAAACUGAACCUUAAAAAAAAACCACCAAAAAUUGAACAAAAUCAACACCCAAAACCCCAAAACCUAUAAACCAUGACUCUCUUUUCUGCAAAUACAAAAGAAAACUUCUUAUCUUGGUUUACUUCCAUACUUUGUACAACACUUUCUAAACUUCUUAUGAGGAAAGAAAAGCAGGGAGGUUGUUCCUAGGUUAGAACGGAAAGGGAAAGCUGAAGGGAUGAGUUACUAAUUCAAAAUCCCCCAGCAGAAUGAGAUUUCUCAAACACUGACCCAAGUCAAUUCACUAACUAGCUAUGAUUUUCUUAGUCUUAUAUGUACUGAUAAAAUUAUAUUCCAAAAUUCUAAGCAUUUUAAGAUUUUAUUUUGUAUAUUUAUAUGAAAUUGUAACUGUAGCUGAUGUGUAACUUCAUAUAAAGUAGUUUUUAAAAAUAUGUUAAAAUUAUAACAAAAUAACACAUUGAAUUAUAUAAUCAGUCUGGUAAAAGAAUCAUGAGUAGCCUUUGAAUUUGGUUUUUGCCACUGUUGCCAGCUAAGAGAACAAUGAGGGAGUACCAAAAGUAAUGCCCAACCUACACAUAACUGUCAAACAAUAUGAAACAAAAAAUCUAAAUACAAAACAAACUGGAAAACUAGGAUUUUUCCGAUUGAGAAUCGAUUCCUCCCAGAAAGACAUUAUUUAGUACAUUAAGCACAACUGAUCUGCACAUCAAAGCUACGCAAAAAUCGAAGCAUUCAGGAAGUAAGAACGAGUGCACUUUGGUUCUUGAGACAAAAUGAAUCUGUAGCAGAUCACCAACUGUACACAAGAGUCAACCAAAAGCACAGCAGUAUAUACUGGCUAACUUCAUACAGUAACACAACAAAUUUUAGACAGGAGAAAGGAUUUUAACUCUGCCAUGCUUCUUCGACUGCUGCCUAGCAAUUCACUGUAAAAUUGCUGGCCAAGGACAAGACAUUGAGAAAGAACUAUGAAAAUUAGUUUAGAAAAUACCUACAAAGAGACUAAAAUAACUUAAUCUAACCAUUUUAUCAAAUUACAAUGGAUGAGAUUCCUGGGAAAAACAAACAAAAACUUAAUUACACAUAGAAGGUUAUCAAGGCUGUUCCUCUCAGCAGGAUCAUUUUAGCUGUAUUAUUCGUAACAGAUGCCUGUAAUAUCUAUUCUUAAAUUUAGAAGUGAAUAUUCCACACUCUCUGCAGUGCUUACAGGCUUUUCUAUAAUAUCACAUCUAAGCAUUCCUUGCUAUUGUUAUUUCUUGUCUGAUCAACACUGUAUAUAGAGAGCAGUGUACUUUUCCUUUGCAGCUUUCAAGAGAUGCAACUCCUUAAAGCAAUCCCAUUUCUAAAAGAAAAAAACAAAUUAUGAUGUAAAUUUUACCUAUAAGGCAAAUAUUUAUAUAUAUUUCUAUUUACCUACAGGCCCUGAAUUUCUAAUUGCUCCUCUGGAGUUUGAUUUAAUGACCUCAGAUGUUUCUUCUAGUUGGUGCCUAAAAACAGACACAGAAAUAUUGUGCAUCACCACUGCUAAAAGAGGAACACACAGUUAAAGCACGCUGGCCUUUCUUAGCAACUGAUGUGUGCCCACACACUCAUGUACUUGGCUGGAAUGUUGUUUCAGUGGACACAAAAGCUGUAUUAAGAGAAACUACCAGAUAAAAGAAAAGAAGCUGCA